rnacentral:hammerhead_ribozyme from 1 species
AUGCAGUUGAGGAGUCUCAAAUAGGACAAAAUGCUCAUCCUGAAU